UCACCUGUCAUUCUGGAUUGAAGGUAGAGCCACUUGUACAUGGAGUCCUCUUUGGAAGAGACACUGCUCUAGGAAGGAGGCCAUUGUAUUUUGGACCCAGAAAAGGAGGAGGACUCCUCGUGUCCUGUGGAGUUGACAGCAGCAAAGAAGGGAGUCCUGGAGGCCAGGACCUUCAGGAGGCUUCCAUGACUUCUUUGACCACGGGAAACAGAGCCUCAGGACCCAGCUUUGGAAGGAUGACCCCCCCGCCUCUCCCCCAGGUUUGGGGAGGAAGAGGAUCAAGAACAUUCCUAAGAAAUAAAUCCGAGCAGACCCAGGCAUCAGAGCCCAAGAUUCAAAUGCAGCUGACACCCCUGAUGCUUCCUCAGAAAACAAGGUUGCGUUGAAUGACAAGAAGCCUCCCGGAGGAGCUCUGGAUGGCCGAUGUCCAGUUGAAUUCCACACCCUCUUCCCAGGUCCCUGCAGAGCAGUUCAGCUGCCAAGUUUCAUUCCCACUGCCAGGAACUACCUUUGCACAGGCAGCAUCCAGGUCCUUCUCUG